UUGCGACCACCGAAUAAGGCUAAACCUUGAAUAAGUGCGCUUUUGUGGUCUCGGAGAGAGGAAUUGAAGCAAACCUUGAGAAGAUUCAAGCCAUCUUAGAGAUGCCCCCUUUGGGUACAAUAAAGGAUAUCCAACGAUUGACUAGAAUGAUGGUUUCGCUUAACAGAUUCAUGUCACGAAUUGUGAUAAGUGUUUACCUUUAUUCAAGGCCCUGCGCACCUUUUCUUCUUAGAUAGAGGAGUAUCAGACAGCUUUCGGGAAGCUCAAAGAAUAUCUUACAUCCCCC
rnacentral:lncRNA from 1 species